UUUCUUUUGUUUGUAGACUGACAAAGCCUCAAUGCUUGAUGAAGCUAUUGAAUAUCUGAAGCAGCUUCAACUUCAAGUGCAGACUUUAGCCGUUAUGAAUGGUUUAGGCCUAAACCCUAUGGGGUUACCACCGGUUCUACCUCCUACACAGACAAGGAACAAUGAGACCUUAGAUCAAGACCUGAACCUGGAGACUCUUCUUGCUGCUCCUCACUCCGUGGAACCACCUCAAGAAAUGUGCUUUUCCACAGCCACUCUGCUUUGAAGAUAACAUUCAGACAAUGAUGAUGAUCUGGCAUUAAACUGGUCAGGGUUCCUCUAGUACCUGCCAGACACAAGAGUCCAAAAUGUUUGUGAGUUCCAGUAUUGGCCAGAUUUCAAUGUUCAGUUAUAGUUAUGCUAAUAAGCUUUAGGACUGAACAAAACUGAGUAGUUUGAUUAUAAUGAUGUCUGAAGAAGAUUAUAUAAAAGAUUGAUUUAGUUA